GACGAACGCUGGCGGCGUGCCUAAUACAUGCAAGUCGAACGCAUUUUCUUUCACCGUAGCUUGCUACACCGAAAGAAAAUGAGUGGCGAACGGGUGAGUAACACGUGGGUAACCUGCCCAUCAGCGGGGGAUAACACUUGGAAACAGGUGCUAAUACCGCAUAAUUCCACUUACCGCAUGGUAAAUGGAUGAAAGGCGCUUUUGCGUCACUGAUGGAUGGACCCGCGGUGCAUUAGCUAGUUGGUGGGGUAACGGCCUACCAAGGCUGCGAUGCAUAGCCGACCUGAGAGGGUGAUCGGCCACACUGGGACUGAGACACGGCCCAGACUCCUACGGGAGGCAGCAGUAGGGAAUCUUCGGCAAUGGACGCAAGUCUGACCGAGCAACGCCGCGUGAUUGAAGAAGGUUUUCGGAUCGUAAAACUCUGUUGUUAGAGAAGAACAAGGAUGAGAGUGGAAAGUUCAUCCCUUGACGGUAUCUAACCAGAAAGCCACGGCUAACUACGUG
rnacentral:rRNA from 1 species